rnacentral:rRNA from 1 species
UACGGGGGGAGCAAGCGUUGUUCGGAUUUACUGGGCGUAAAGGGCGCGUAGGCGGCCAGCACAAGUCAGUUGUGAAAUCUCCGGGCUUAACUCGGAAAGGUCAACUGAUACUGUGCGGCUAGAGUGCAGAAGGGGCAACUGGAAUUCUCGGUGUAGCGGUGAAAUGCGUAGAUAUCGAGAGGAACACCUGCGGCGAAGGCGGGUUGCUGGGCUGACACUGACGCUGAACCGCGAAAGCCAGGGGAGCGAACGGG